CCUACGGGUGGCAGCAGUGAGGAAUAUUGGUCAAUGGGCUUACGCCUGAACCAGCCAAGUCGCGUGAGGGAAGACUGCCCUAUGGGUUGUAAACCUCUUUUGUCAGGGAGCAACGCCGGCUACGUGUAGCCGGACUGAGAGUACCUGAAGAAAAAGCAUCGGCUAACUCCGUGCCAGCAGCCGCGGUAAUACGGAGGAUGCGAGCGUUAUCCGGAUGUAUUGGGUUUAAAGGGUGCGUAGGCGGAAUGCCAAGUCAGCGGUAAAAGCGCGGGGCUCAACCUCGCUCCGCCGUUGAAACUGGCGUUCUUGAGUGGGCGAGAAGUAUGCGGAAUGCGUGGUGGAGCGGUGAAAUGCAUAGAUAUCACGCAGAACUCCGAUUGCGAAGGCAGCAUACCGGCGCCCAACUGACGCUGAAGCACGAAAGCGUGGGUAUCGAACAGGAUUAGAUACCCCAGUAGUC
rnacentral:rRNA from 1 species